rnacentral:rRNA from 1 species
UACGGAGGGGGCUAGCGUUGUUCGGAAUUACUGGGCGUAAAGCGCACGUAGGCGGCUUUGUAAGUUAGAGGUGAAAGCCCGGAGCUCAACUCCGGAACUGCCUUUAAGACUGCAUCGCUUGAAUCAUGGAGAGGUCAGUGGAAUUCCGAGUGUAGAGGUGAAAUUCGUAGAUAUUCGGAAGAACACCAGUGGCGAAGGCGACUGACUGGACAUGUAUUGACGCUGAGGUGCGAAAGCGUGGGGAGCAAACAGGG